AUUGAACGCUGGCGGUAGGCCUAACACAUGCAAGUCGAACGCGAAAGUCCUUCGGGAUGAGUAGAGUGGCGGACGGGUGAGUAACGCGUAGGAAUCUAUCCUGUAGUGGGGGAUAACGUUUCGAAAGGAACGCUAAUACCGCAUACGCCCCAAGGGGGAAAGCGGGGGAUCUUCGGACCUCGUGCUAUAGGAGGAGCCUGCGUCGGAUUAGCUAGUUGGUGAGGUAAAGGCUCACCAAGGCGACGAUCCGUAGCUGGUCUGAGAGGAUGAUCAGCCACACCGGAACUGAGACACGGUCCGGACUACUACGGGAGGCAGCAGUGGUGAAUAUUGCGCAAUGGGCGAAAGCCUGACGCAGCCAUACCGCGUGUGUGAAGAAGGCCUUCGGGUUGUAAAGCACUUUCAGUGGGGAGGAAAAGCUGGUGGCUAAUAUCCAUCGGCCGUGACGCUACCCACAGAAGAAGCACCGGCUAAUUCCGUGCCAGCCGCCGCGGUAACAC
rnacentral:rRNA from 1 species